CAGUCACAUUCUCCACUGAAGGAUUUUCAUGGACAGAAGAUUUGGUAGCUUAGUUACAAUCUUUGUAAGAUAAGUGUGGAAUGUACUUCUGGUUUUAAGAUGCCCUGCUCCUUCAGAUUCCCCCCUCCACACACACACACUUGCUUAUGGCAACUCUGAAACAGGCAUAGGAAUGCUUUACAAGUUGACACUUUGUUCAUUAGACGGAACUGACUGUUUCUUUUUCAGGGAUGUUAAAUGUGGCAGGUUAUUCUGCGUAGAUAAUUCAACUGAAGAGAACUCGUGCAAAUUUUACUUUUCAAACGAAAAUGCCAAUUUAGGAAUGGUUGAACCUGGAACAAAGUGUGGAGAAGGAAUGGUCUGUGGCUUCGGGCAGUGUAUUACCCUAGAAACAGCUUUUGGACCAACCAGUAACUUCACUCAAAUGUGAUUUUGGAGAUCCACUUUCCAGAAAGCUUGACUUCCCUCAAAAGACCCAUCUCUCUUCAUCAUACUAGUAAAUCUUUCUUAACUUCUAGAUGGCAUCUAAAAUCUGCAAUUUUUCUUCUCCAUGUUUAAUCUGACUACUUUUUGCUGUAAUUAAACUCUUUCCCAGCCACAAGGCUCCGUGAGCAUCUACAACACCAAAGAUAUAUGUGCUGUCAAGAAAAAAACAUUGGCUAUUUUACUUUUGCCAAUUGCAAAACACAUUUUAAUGCAACAAGUUUUACUUUUGGAGCUGGCAUCUUCAAAGGCAAUGAAUUCUGUUCCAAAAUUUUCUUCCUGACAAUCAAAGAUGUAGCUGCUUCUAUCAAUAAACAAAUCUAAUUCUGCAUUUA